GAUGAACGCUGGCGGCGUGCCUAAUACAUGCAAGUCGAGCGAACGGACGAGAAGCUUGCUUCUCUGAUGUUAGCGGCGGACGGGUGAGUAACACGUGGAUAACCUACCUAUAAGACUGGGAUAACUUCGGGAAACCGGAGCUAAUACCGGAUAAUAUUUUGAACCGCAUGGUUCAAAAGUGAAAGACGGUCUUGCUGUCACUUAUAGAUGGAUCCGCGCUGCAUUAGCUAGUUGGUAAGGUAACGGCUUACCAAGGCAACGAUGCAUAGCCGACCUGAGAGGGUGAUCGGCCACACUGGAACUGAGACACGGUCCAGACUCCUACGGGAGGCAGCAGUAGGGAAUCUUCCGCAAUGGGCGAAAGCCUGACGGAGCAACGCCGCGUGAGUGAUGAAGGUCUUCGGAUCGUAAAACUCUGUUAUUAGGGAAGAACAUAUGUGUAAGUAACUGUGCACAUCUUGACGGUACCUAAUCAGAAAGCCACGGCUAACUACGUGCCAGCAGCCGCGGUAAUACGUAGGUGGCAAGCGUUAUCCGGAAUUAUUGGGCGUAAAGCGCGCGUAGGCGGUUUUUUAAGUCUGAUGUGAAAGCCCACGGCUCAACCGUGGAGGGUCAUUGGAAACUGGAAAACUUGAGUGCAGAAGAGGAAAGUGGAAUUCCAUGUGUAGCGGUGAAAUGCGCAGAGAUAUGGAGGAACACCAGUGGCGAAGGCGACUUUCUGGUCUGUAACUGACGCUGAUGUGCGAAAGCGUGGGGAUCAAACAGGAUUAGAUACCCUGGUAGUCCACGCCGUAAACGAUGAGUGCUAAGUGUUAGGGGGUUUCCGCCCCUUAGUGCUGCAGCUAACGCAUUAAGCACUCCGCCUGGGGAGUACGACCGCAAGGUUGAAACUCAAAGGAAUUGACGGGGACCCGCACAAGCGGUGGAGCAUGUGGUUUAAUUCGAAGCAACGCGAAGAACCUUACCAAAUCUUGACAUCCUUUGACAACUCUAGAGAUAGAGCCUUCCCCUUCGGGGGGGCAAAGUGACAGGUGGUGCAUGGUUGUCGUCAGCUCGUGUCGUGAGAUGUUGGGUUAAGUCCCGCAACGAGCGCAACCCUUAAGCUUAGUUGCCAUCAUUAAGUUGGGCACUCUAAGUUGACUGCCGGUGACAAACCGGAGGAAGGUGGGGAUGACGUCAACUCAUCAUGCCCCUUAUGAUUUGGGCUACACACGUGCUACAAUGGACAAUACAAAGGGCAGCGAAACCGCGAGGUCAAGCAAAUCCCAUAAAGUUGUUCUCAGUUCGGAUUGUAGUCUGCAACUCGACUACAUGAAGCUGGAAUCGCUAGUAAUCGUAGAUCAGCAUGCUACGGUGAAUACGUUCCCGGGUCU
rnacentral:rRNA from 1 species